CGGAGUGGCUCACAAGUGCCGUGAUGCUGUGUCAGCAAACACAUGCGAAUAUUUCACUAAAUAUGCUCAUAGUGGAGACGCCUGUGGCUUUAUAAACUCACCCCUUAUGCCAUGGUCAAGCUUUGUGAGCACGUUUCAACCUUCGUUUAAGUGUCCAAUACAAGCAGUGCGAUAUCUUAUAUCCAACGCGUCGAUCGAUGUAGAUGCCAUUGCGCGGAUGUUUGGCGUCUCACCUAAUAAUGAUGUGUGGAAGAUCGUAAUAACGAUAAAAGACGAAAAGCGUGCCCCUUAUAUUUGCCUUGACGCUGCAGUCCGAAUUGUGAAAUACGCAAGCAGGGGUUGAUGUCCUUGGCAGCAAACUAUUGUGGUAUCUACCGCGGUGGAGUGAGUCACUUAGCAUUUCGAAAUUAUAAACGUCUGCUUUCUUAGAUAAA